rnacentral:tRNA from 1 species
GGCAGUUCAGUGGUAGAAUUCUUGCCUUCCAAGCGGGAGAUCUGGGUUCAAUUCCCAACCA